rnacentral:rRNA from 1 species
ACGCGAGGAACCUUACCAGGUCUUGACAUCUGAAUGACCGGUGCAGAGAUGUACCUUUCCUUCGGGACAUUCAAGACAGGUGGUGCAUGGUUGUCGUCAGCUCGUGUCGUGAGAUGUUGGGUUAAGUCCCGCAACGAGCGCAACCCUUGAUCUUAGUUGCCAGCAUUAAGUUGGGCACUCUAAGGUGACUGCCGGUGACAAACCGGAGGAAGGUGGGGAUGACGUCAAAUCAUCAUGCCCCUUAUGACCUGGGCUACACACGUGCUACAAUGGACGGUACAAACGGUUGCCAACCCGCGAGGGGGAGCUAAUCCGAUAAAACCGUUCUCAGUUCGGAUUGUAGGCUGCAACUCGCCUACAUGAAGCCGGAAUCGCUAGUAAUCGCGGAUCAGCAUGCCGCGGUGAAUACGUUCCCGGGCCUUGCACACACCGCCCGU